UUAUAGUGUUGAAGGUGUUUACUGGGGC
rnacentral:piRNA from 1 species